rnacentral:rRNA from 1 species
CUACGGGGUGCAGCAGUGGGGAAUAUUGGACAGUGGGGGCAACCCUGAUCCAGCCAUGCCGCGUGUGUGAAGAAGGCCUUUUGGUUGUAAAGCACUUUAAGCAGGGAGGAGAGGCUAAUGGUUAAUACCCAUUAGAUUAGACGUUACCUGCAGAAUAAGCACCGGCUAACUCUGUGCCAGCAGCCGCGGUAAUACAGAGGGUGCGAGCGUUAAUCGGAAUUACUGGGCGUAAAGCGAGUGUAGGUGGCUCAGUAAGUCACAUGUGAAAUCCCCGGGCUUAACCUGGGAACUGCAUGUGAUACUGGUGGUGCUAGAAUAUGUGAGAGGGAAGUAGAAUUCCAGGUGUAGCGGUGAAAUGCGUAGAGAUCUGGAGGAAUACCGAUGGCGAAGGCAGCUUCCUGGCAUAAUAUUGACACUGAGAUUCGAAAGCGUGGGUAGCAAACAGGAUUAGAUACCCUAGUAGUC